AUCUACUCAGAGUGCUUGGGUGGAGGUUUGUGUCCGGGGCCGUGGGCGUUCGUUUCGUGCGUGCGUUCUCGUGCUUUGGCGCUUCCUCUAUUGCUCACCUCUGUGCUCUUACUUGGAGGAGGUGACUUCUGUGUCACCUUGAGUAAAUCAUGGUGCUCACAGCAGUCGUGCGGGCCCUGUGCCCUGUGAACAGUCUAUGCGGACUGAAUUGGUUUUGCAAGGCAUGACGAAACAUGACGUCGCUGCUGGUUGCGAGUGUGAGGGCGCAGCUCUCGUGGUUGCGCCGAGCGGUUUGCCAGUAGUGACGUAAUGAUCAAUGGAGACGGUAGCUGGCAUUGGUAUUGCGCGGCGAGAGGUGAAAUUCUGCGACCCCCGCAAGACCUCCUAAAGCGAAGGCGUCUGCCAAGGACGUGUUCACCAAUCAUGAACGAAAGUCAGAGGAUCGAAGGCGAUCAGAUACCGCCCUAGUUCUGACCCUAAACGAUGCCAACCAUCAAUCCGCGUGAGCACCCUAUCUAACGGGCUCGGCGGGCAGCUCCCUUCUUCCGGGAAACCAGAGUUUUUGGGUUCCGGGGGGAGUCUGGUUGCAAAGCU
rnacentral:rRNA from 1 species